GGUCCGAAGGGUAUCAAGUGCCAGAUUAUGAUUGUUAAGAGAAGUGGCACGAGCAGUAGAGAUAAGUGUAGGUGCAUCAGAGAGAGGAAGACUAUGACACUCAUAAACAGGAGGGGUUCUAGGGGGUGAAGGUGACUUACCCUUGUGUCAUACCUCAAUUUUGUCCCUCAUUCAGUAAAUCGAUACACUCAUCAUGAGUUUCGCAUCAUCUGCACAUCGUAGCAUGCAUUUCAUAGUGCACAAUGCCUGAAAUAUCAACCAGAAUACAUUUUUUAAUUUACAGACAGACCGGUCGAACUGAUCCUCAAAUGUAC
rnacentral:lncRNA from 1 species